AGUGAACGCUGGCGGUAGGCCUAACACAUGCAAGUCGAACGGCAGCACAGUAAGAGCUUGCUCUUACGGGUGGCGAGUGGCGGACGGGUGAGGAAUACAUCGGAAUCUACUUUUUCGUGGGGGAUAACGUAGGGAAACUUACGCUAAUACCGCAUACGACCUACGGGUGAAAGCAGGGGAUCUUCGGACCUUGCGCGAUUGAAUGAGCCGAUGUCGGAUUAGCUAGUUGGCGGGGUAAAGGCCCACCAAGGCGACGAUCCGUAGCUGGUCUGAGAGGAUGAUCAGCCACACUGGAACUGAGACACGGUCCCGACUCCUACGGGAGGCAGCAGUGGGGAAUAUUGGACAAUGGGCGCAAGCCUGAUCCAGCCAUACCGCGUGGGUGAAGAAGGCCUUCGGGUUGUAAAGCCCUUUUGUUGGGAAAGAAAAGCAGCAGGUUAAUACCCCGCUGUUCUGACGGUACCCAAAGAAUAAGCACCGGCUAACUGCGU
rnacentral:rRNA from 1 species